rnacentral:snRNA from 11 species
AGCUUUGCACAGUGGCAGUAUCGUAGCCAAUGAGGUUUAUCCGAGGCGCGAUUAUUGCUAAUUAAAGUCAAGGUGUCAUAUUUUGGGGUAAUAUGUUCACCACCACAUUUGGGAUUUACUUUCAACCUGAGAGCAACAGGAACUCUGCAAGGGUA